UUGGAGAAAUAGAGUUGUAUUCUGAUUGAAGUGACAAGAAGUGACUUAAAAAGCCAAUCUGAAAAUUUUCAGAGCAUUUAUACAAGAUACAACACAAUAUCUAUGUGAAUUUUGCAUUACGCAAUUAUUACAGCAAAAAAUAUUACAAUGUUCCUGCCAGAGAAGCUCCAGGCUGUACGAAAAGCACCAUAGCUGCACUUGAAAGUAACAAUAGGUUUUCGUGUAAAUAGUCAAGACAUGUGCAAUUUAUGGUGGUGUAAAAGCAUUUAAAUUAUUAUUAACAAGAACAAUAAACAAAUAAGAAAUAAACAAAACAAAAAAACUGAGACCCUUGCUAAAUUUUUCCUAGCUUUUGUCAUAUGUUGCCUACAUGAGUUUUUCUUUUAAACACACGUACAUGGCUUCUUGGCUCGACUCAUCUCUUCAACCAUGUUUGUUAAAACAUUCACAAUUUAGCUCACUUUGAAAAACCUCAGUAUUAAGACCCCAAACAUGCAGGCCAACUUUUUUUUUUUUUUUUUUUUUUUUGGUCUCCCCUUCCUCCACCCUUCACCCUCUACCUCUGGUCAGGGUCGAUCAAUACUUCCCCUGUAGCUUAUCACUAAUGUGCAACUGGCUGUUUGUCCAAACCCUGCUCUGUCUACAUAAAGACUCAGAGGGGAUGGCUUCUAACCCAAAUUCACCACAUAUCACCCCAUGAACUCAGCAGCUGCGGACACACUACUGGACUUAAACUGACAAUAACCCACGGAGCGGCGGGCAGAGAGGGGGAGCAGAAGACUGACUGCUGAGCAUGAAUGAGUGAAUCUGGAAGAGCUUUGAAACUCAGGGUCAUUCAUUCAUCCAUCCACCAACCUGUGUGUCUGUGCAUCUACAGCAGAUCUGGUCCUCUGGAGUUGUGGAGUGUGACAAUGGUGUUUGUUUUCUGUCCAUCAAACGCCAUUAUCACACUAAAUAGCUACAGUGUGAAAACGGGCUCGGUGUGUUCCAUCGCUCCUGGAUUUCUGCCUCUGAAGAAUUUGUCGAGGAUCUUUUGAAGCUUCUGUUCGACCUUUACUUUCCCUUUUUUUAUAUAUAUGGUAAACCUGUGUGCUCAGGUGGUCACAGCUUAAGACAUGUUAGAGUGACUCAGAGGAGUCAGAAAGGACAAUUGUGUUAAAUUAGGAUGUCAAUAAUCUUUAAAUGAUCCAUGUACUAAAAAGUUAUUUUAUUUUUUUCAACAUUUUCAGUGUCUAACCAUGCUGUUUUGUUUAGAGGCUCUAUCAUUUUUUAAUGUCGGUACUAAACAUUAAACAUCCCCAUUCCCAAAGGUUUAAAAACACAAAGUUUCAUAAAUGUGUUCAAAAGCA